UUUUAUGAGAGUUUGAUCCUGGCUCAGGACGAACGCUGGCGGCGUGCCUAAUACAUGCAAGUAGAACGCUGAAGUCUGGUGCUUGCACUAGACGGAUGAGUUGCGAACGGGUGAGUAACGCGUAGGUAACCUGCCUCAUAGCGGGGGAUAACUAUUGGAAACGAUAGCUAAUACCGCAUAACAGUAUUUACUGCAUGGUAGAUACUUGAAAGGAGCAAUUGCUUCACUAUGAGAUGGACCUGCGUUGUAUUAGCUAGUUGGUGAGGUAACGGCUCACCAAGGCAUCGAUACAUAGCCGACCUGAGAGGGUGAUCGGCCACACUGGGACUGAGACACGGCCCAGACUCCUACGGGAGGCAGCAGUAGGGAAUCUUCGGCAAUGGGGGCAACCCUGACCGAGCAACGCCGCGUGAGUGAAGAAGGUUUUCGGAUCGUAAAGCUCUGUUGUAAGAGAAGAACUGUGAGAAGAGUGGAAAGUUUCUCACUUGACGGUAUCUUACCAGAAAGGGACGGCUAACUACGUGCCAGCAGCCGCGGUAAUACGUAGGUCCCGAGCGUUGUCCGGAUUUAUUGGGCGUAAAGCGAGCGCAGGCGGUUUGAUAAGUCUGAAGUAAAAGGCUGUGGCUUAACCAUAGUACGCUUUGGAAACUGUCAAACUUGAGUGCAGAAGGGGAGAGUGGAAUUCCAUGUGUAGCGGUGAAAUGCGUAGAUAUAUGGAGGAACACCGGUGGCGAAAGCGGCUCUCUGGUCUGUAACUGACGCUGAGGCUCGAAAGCGUGGGGAGCGAACAGGAUUAGAUACCCUGGUAGUCCACGCCGUAAACGAUGAGUGCUAGGUGUUGGGUCCUUUCCGGGACUCAGUGCCGCAGCUAACGCAUUAAGCACUCCGCCUGGGGAGUACGACCGCAAGGUUGAAACUCAAAGGAAUUGACGGGGGCCCGCACAAGCGGUGGAGCAUGUGGUUUAAUUCGAAGCAACGCGAAGAACCUUACCAGGUCUUGACAUCCCGAUGACCGCCCUAGAGAUAGGGUUUCUCUUCGGAGCAUCGGUGACAGGUGGUGCAUGGUUGUCGUCAGCUCGUGUCGUGAGAUGUUGGGUUAAGUCCCGCAACGAGCGCAACCCCUAUUGUUAGUUGCCAUCAUUCAGUUGGGCACUCUAGCGAGACUGCCGGUAAUAAACCGGAGGAAGGUGGGGAUGACGUCAAAUCAUCAUGCCCCUUAUGACCUGGGCUACACACGUGCUACAAUGGCUGGUACAACGAGUCGCAAGUCGGUGACGGCAAGCUAAUCUCUUAAAGCCAGUCUCAGUUCGGAUUGUAGGCUGCAACUCGCCUACAUGAAGUCGGAAUCGCUAGUAAUCGCGGAUCAGCACGCCGCGGUGAAUACGUUCCCGGGCCUUGUACACACCGCCCGUCACACCACGAGAGUUUGUAACACCCGAAGUCGGUGAGGUAACCUUUUAGGAGCCAGCCGCCUAAGGUGGGAUAGAUGAUUGGGGUGAAGUCGUAACAAGGUAGCCGUAUCGGAAGGUGCGGCUGGAUCACCUCCUUU
rnacentral:rRNA from 2 species